GCCGCGGUAGCUCAGUGGUAGAGCGCACCCUUGGUAAGGGUGAGGUCGAGAGUUCAAUUCUCUCUCGUGGCACCA
rnacentral:tRNA from 6 species